UACGGAGGAUCCGAGCGUUAUCCGGAUUUAUUGGGUUUAAAGGGUGCGUAGGCGGCCUAUUAAGUCAGGGGUGAAAGACGGUAGCUUAACUAUCGCAGUGCCUUUGAUACUGAUAGGCUUGAAUGUACUUGAGGUAGGCGGAAUGUGACAAGUAGCAGUGAAAUGCAUAGAUAUGUCACAGAACACCAAUUGCGAAGGCAGCUUACUAAAGUAUGAUUGACGCUGAGGCACGAAAGCGUGGGGAUCAAACAGG
rnacentral:rRNA from 1 species